rnacentral:rRNA from 1 species
CUUACCAAGGCGACGAUCAGUAGCUGGUCUGAGAGGAUGAUCAGCCACAUUGGGACUGAGACACGGCCCAGACUCCUACGGGAGGCAGCAUG